UAAAUACUCCCUCCGUCCCAAAUUUUUUGUCUUAGAUUUAUCUAAAUACGGAUGUAUCAAGUCACGUUUUAGUAUUAGAUACAUCCGUAUCUAGACAAACCUAAGACAAGAAUUUUGGGACGGAGGGAGUAUAAU
rnacentral:pre_miRNA from 1 species